rnacentral:rRNA from 1 species
AUGGAGUGCAAGGCGGCGAGGGAGCCGUCCUCGUCCGCCCCCUCUUCUUCCAUGGACAGCUGUGGCGCCGGCGGGCCGCGGGCGACGGUCUCCACGGCGUCGUCCUUCUACCGGCCGGCGAUCGACAGGGGCCUAAGCACGGACCUUCACCUCGGGCUCAGCCUGCGGUCGUGCUCCUCCUCCUUCCACGCAGCUGACGGCGUCUCCGCUUCCACUCCAAGGUCUCUGCAGGCUCGUGAUUUUAUCUCAGAAAUUAAACUUCUUGUUCAUCAUUUUGCAUCGGUCGAUCUCUGGCUCUCUGCACAUAAACCGACGCAUCCAACCUGCCGUCUUCUUAGGAGCGCCCUGACAACAACGGCGGGUCCGGCGUAUGAGACAGGCGGCGGCGGCGGCAGCCAUGGGCAGCAGUUGCUGUUUGUGAAGGUGUACAUGGAGGGCGUCCCCAUCGGCCGGAAGCUGGAUCUGCUGCUGCUGGACGGCUACGACGACCUCCUCGCUAUCCUAGGCCGCAUGUUCAAGGCCUCCAUCAUACAUCCGGAUACUAUCGGCCGUGAUCACCGAGUGGUUCUUGGGGAGAAGCAGGCUCGCCAUGUUGUCACUUAUCAAGACCAGGAGGGGGACUGGUUGAUGGCCGGCGACCUGCCGUGGGCGCUAUUCCUGGCGAGUGUGAAGAAAUUGAAGAUUGCAAGGGUGGAUAGUAGCAUCUCGGAUUGA